rnacentral:rRNA from 1 species
AAUGAACGCUGGCGGCGCGCCUAAUACAUGCAAGUCGAGCGAGAAGACGUAGCAAUACGUUUGUAAAGCGGCGAACGGGUGAGGAAUACAUGGGUAACCUACCCUCGAGUGGGGAAUAACUAGCCGAAAGGUUAGCUAAUACCGCGUACGCUUCUUGGACUUCGGUUCAGGGAGGAAAGCGAUACCGUGGGUAUCGCGCUCUUGGAUGGGCUCAUGUCCUAUCAGCUUGUUGGUGAGGUAACGGCUCACCAAGGCUUCGACGGGUAGCUGGUCUGAGAGGACGAUCAGCCACACUGGCACUGCGACACGGGCCAGACUCCUACGGGAGGCAGCAGUAAGGAAUAUUGCGCAAUGGGCGAAGGCCUGACGCAGCGACGCCGCGGUGGGGGAU